AGCGAACGCUGGCGGCAGGCUUAACACAUGCAAGUCGAGCGGGCAUCCUUGUGGUGUCAGCGGCAGACGGGUGAGUAACGCGUGGGAACGUGCCCUUCGGUUCGGAAUAACUCAGGGAAACUUGAGCUAAUACCGGAUACGUGCGAGAGCAGAAAGGUUUAUCUGCCGAAGGAUCGGCCCGCGUCUGAUUAGCUAGUUGGUGAGGUUAUGGCUCACCAAGGCGACGAUCAGUAGCUGGUCUGAGAGGAUGAUCAGCCACACUGGGACUGAGACACGGCCCAGACUCCUACGGGGGGCAGCAGUGGGGAAUAUUGGACAAUGGGGGCAACCCUGAUCCAGCCAUGCCGCGUGAGUGAUGACGGCCUUAGGGUUGUAAAGCUCUUUUCUCCGGGACGAUAAUGACGGUACCGGAGGAAUAAGCCCCGGCUAACUUCG
rnacentral:rRNA from 1 species